rnacentral:misc_RNA from 1 species
GAUGAAGAACGUAGCGAACGUGCGAAACGUAAUGUGAAUUGCAGAAUUCAGUGAAUCAUCGAAUCUUUGAACGCACAUUGCGCCCCUUGGUAUUCCAUGGGGCAUGCCUGUUCGAGCGUCAUUUGUACCCUCAAGCUUUGCUUGGUGUUGGGUGUUUGUCCUCUCCUUUGCGUUUGGACUCGCCUUAAAGCAAUUGGCAGCCAGUGUUUUGGUAUUGAAGCGCAGCACAAUUUGCGAUUCUAGCCGGCAACACUUGCGUCCAUAAGCCUUUUUUUAACUUUUGACCUCGGAUCAGGUAGGGAUACCCGCUGAACUUAAGCAUAUCAAUAAGCGGAGGA